GAAAAACUGUGCUGUCCAAACCGACUGACUCUUCCCCUGAGGUUAUAAAUUAUUUAGGAAAUAAAGCAUGUGAGUGCUACAUCUCAAUUGCCGAUUGGGCUGCUGUGCAGGAAUGGCAGAACGCUAUCCAUGACUUGAAAAAGAGUACCAGUAGCACUUCCUUCAACCUGAAAGCUGACUUCAACUAUAUAAAAUCAUUAAGCAGCUUUGAGUCUGGAAAAUUUGUCAAAUGUACCGAGCAAUUAGAAUUGUUACCAGGAGAAAAUAUCAAUCUACUUGCUGGAGGGUCAAAAGAAAAAAUA
rnacentral:lncRNA from 1 species